rnacentral:misc_RNA from 1 species
ACCAACACCCCUUAAAUAAUUCUGUUUAGGAUAGAAGCUGUGACUAGAAAAAUCAGGUUUGGGGAUUCUGUUCAGGAUGUCAUGUCUGCCAUCGGAGCACCCUCAAGGGUGUUCUAUAAGUCGGAAGAUAAGAUGAAGAUUCACUCCCCGAAUGCGCACAGGAAAGCUGCAUCCUUGAAGUCAGAUUACUUCUUCAACUACUUUCAGAUGGGGCUGGAUGUAUUGCUUGAUGCAAGGACUAACACGGUUAAAAAAUUCAUUCUUCACACCAACUUUCCUGGCCACUAUAAUUUUAAUAGGUAUCAUCGAGCUGAGUUUAAUCUAGAGCUAGAGGUUGAAAAGAGUUCUAUAAAUCAAAUGAUUCCUAGUCCUGUUAACAUCACACCAUUAACAAGGUGGGAAAGUGUAGCGGAUAAACUGAAACCAUGUGAGAGACCUGUUGUUCUAAACCGGGCCAGCUCAACCAAUACAACAAACCCCUUCGGUUCUACUUUCUGCUAUGGGUACCAGGAUAUUAUAUUUGAGGUUAUGCCCAACGGACAUCUUGCAAGUGUGACCCUUUAUCUUCCACAGGGCAUGAGUCCUCCGUCAGUUGGAGAGGAGGACGUUCUCAAGCUUUAAUAGGACGCGACGUUCUUUAAGCUUUAAUAGGACGCGACGUUCUUUAAGCUUAAUAGGACGCGACGUUCUUCGAGCUUUGAUAUCGCGUCUCAAGAAGACGUUCUUGAGGUUCAAAUAGACGCUAUUAACCUUUAACAGGACGUUCUUAAGCUUACAUAGGACGUUGUUAUGGCUUAUUAGGGCAUUCUUGAGCUCUAAUACGACGUCCUAAAAUUAAAAUUUUCAUUUAAAGACAAGCAGUUUGAUGCCGAAAAAUGACGAUUUUAGAUUCGUAGGAGGCUUAAGUAUAUUGUGAAGAAUAAGGAUGAGAUAGAGAGAAGGAGAGUCACUGAGUUCACUGAGUGCACGAAUAAUAAAAUGCCGCGUCCAAUUCAGGCCAAAUUCUCCUCUUUUCCUGACUGCACAAGCUCUCAAAGACUAUUGAAUAUGGAAGAUGAACGAAAUGAUUAAUUAUUAAAUGUGGUUUGGUUAUUUGUCCUUGAGUACUUUUACAAUACAGUACAUUCAGAGAUGCUGUAACGUAUGUACAAUGUUAUUGUACACUGUACACUGAACUUAAUUCAUUUUACAAACAGAAACACUGUUAUGAUGUACACUGUGUGACAAAUUUGUGUACAUACUUGUGAUUGGUUGAGCACUGAUACAUAUUGUAAGCAUGUCAGCUGCAUAAUAAAAGCAUUGACUAAAUGUGUGCAACCCAUUUCAACUUGUAUUUAAUUAUAUAUGUAAUUUGCAAAGUAUUCUGUUAUUGGAUAAAAGAUUUCAUGUUUCAAAAUUAACCUUUUAAAACUGCUUCAAUUCUGUGAUUUUAAACUCUUUUUCUUUAUAUCUUAAUAUUUAUCCUAAUUAUUAAACUUAUGAUUGAUUUGAAUUGAUCUAGAAAAUUCCUUCUGAUGCUGAACUCUGAAUAGCAUAUUAAAUGCAUCUGAAAAAAGAAACCUGAAAUAAUAAAAUCCGAGAUAUUGAUCCCUCCACUAUUUAUGUUGUUUAAAGUAUAUUUGCUUUUCAAGGAUAUCAAUCUGGACUAGCUUAGCAUAUAGCUAUUGUCAACUUGUCGUUAGUUUGACUUCAUCAAGCUAUAACUAGCUGGACCAGUAUAUUUAUAGUUAUUAUCAACCUAUCGUUAGUUUCACUUUAUCAACAUGUAACUAGCUUUACCAGUUGAUUUAUAGCUAUUGUCAACCUAUUGUUAGUUUGACAUUAUCAACUUGUGACUAGCUAAACAAGAUGAUUGACCAACCUGUCCUUAGCUAGGCUAUUUGAUUAAGAUCAUUAGGUUUAAUAAUAAACCUGUGUCUAGCUAAUAUAUAGUUGAUUGAUAAUUAAUUAGCUUCAGUUAUCGACCUGUGUCUAGCUAAGAUAUAGUUGAUUGAUAAUUAAUUAGGCUCAGUUAUCGACCUGUGUCUAGCUAAGAUAUAGUUGAUUGAUAAUUAAUUAGCUUCAGUUAUUGACCUGCGUCUAGCUAAGAUAUAGUUGAUUGAUAAUUUAUUAGGUUCAGUUCUCGACCUGUGUCUAGCUAAGAUAUAGUUGAUUGAUAAUUUAUUAGGUUCAGUUCUCGACCUGUGUCUAGCUACGUUAGACCAUUAAUGUAUCUUUGAAUAUGCAGAACUAGUUUACUUAUUUUGUAUUUUCCUGUGUCAAGGCAAAAUGUCUAUAUACUAGGCUAAUUCUAAUGGGCAACCGAUAAAAACGUUUAAAUUGAUUUUGGAAGAUAUUGAUCACAAUCUCAUUUGUUUUCUUAUUUUUUAACGAAACCUUCAUUCAUAAGUUCAAAUUAAAUUUACAGGUUCAUAGUUUUCUUCUCAAAAAUACAAGUUUUAAAAUUUAA